CAUCAAUGUUGUCAGCUCGGCUUAACCUCGUUUCUCCCUCAUCAGCUGCACUCUGAGCUCAAGCCAGGUUUCACUGUGAUUUUCGGGCCUAAUCCCAGCCAGGAUAGAUUCUCCUCCUGCUCUUUCUUCACUUUGCCAGCUGAUUCUGUAGUUUCAUACGGAGCUCUCGCUUGGAUCCGUUCUUUUCUCUUUUCCAUGAAUCGGUGGAGGGAUUUAUUUCUUGCAAUCGGGAGAUAUGAAACACUUGGCUGGGGCGGCUUUGCUGCAGAUCCCUGCACAACCGUAGUGUUGGUGGUAGGGACGUUUAGCUGCUUUGAGGUGGCAGUAGCCGGGGUGGCAGUUGCCGGUGGAAGGAGGAAAUUUUGCGCUGCAGGUCUGCCACUCUUUCCGGCCAUCUGCAUCAGGUCCUUAGCCUUCUCUGCUGGGAAAUUGUCAAAGACCAACACCUUCCCGCCGUAAAAUAUCGUCAACUGUGAUUUCUUCGGCGGCCCAUUACUGGCAUCCGUCUCCGUCACCGCCAACGCCGGCGCCUCCGCGGGCGGCGGUGGUGCCGCCGCUCCAAAUCCAGCUUGCUGUGGAAACAGAUCCAUGGAUCUCACCUUCCCGCCGGACUCCCCGUCCUUCUUCUCAGCACCCGGCAUCAAGCUCAUCGUCGCCGGCUGUCGCACAGCCGCACCGAGAUCUGCGAGCGCCCGGUUCUCCUUGAUGUAUUGGCUGAGCAGAUUGCAGGUGACGGCGAAGCUUGAUUUCUGGCUCAUAUCUCUCAUCACAAUUGAGAAAAAUCGAAUGAAGAUAAUGAAGAAUUUGAGAGAUGAUGA
rnacentral:misc_RNA from 1 species